GUGCGGAGCGCUCGGCUCGGCGCGGCCGCCCGCGGGAGCAUCCUCCGCCGCCCGUCCCCGGGGCGCCGGGCAGCACCCCCCGCCCCGGGCAGAUGUUGGGGCGCGGAGGGGGCAGGCAGAGCCGCUAAGGCGGCCCGCCCCGCGGGUGGGGGCCAGCACCGGCAGCGGGGGCCGCCCCGCCGCCGCCUCCCUGCCCGCGGCUCGCCCGGCUCGGGCCCCCGGAGGCACGGCGAGGAGGAGCUACGGAGCCCGCAGACGGCAGGGCAGGGCGAGGGGGGCGGCCCGGCCCCGGCGGGGGGCAAGGCAGCGGCUCGCCCGGCCAUGCCACCCCGGCGCUGAAGCCGCCCCGCCGCAGCCCCCAGCCCCCCGGCCCUGCCAUGGCUGCGCCCCUCUAGGCGCCCCACCGGCUCGCCCCGCGUCGCCCCGGCUCCCCCGGGGCCGCCGGCCGGAGGAUGGACGAGGAUGGACCGCGACCGGCCGAGGAAGAGCCGGAGCCGGGCAGAGCCAAGACUUUCAUCCGCCUUAAUGACCUGUCCGGGGCCGGGGGCCGCCCGGGGCCGGGGGAUAGGGAGACGGGCAGCGGCGACUCGGAGGCGGAGGCGCUGCCCUACCCGGCGCUGGCCCCCGUCGUCUUCUUCUACCUGAGCCAGGAGAGCCGGCCGCGGAGCUGGUGCCUGCGGCUGGUCUGUAACCCGUGGUUCGAGAGGGUGAGCAUGCUGGUCAUCCUGCUCAACUGCGUGACGCUGGGCAUGUUCCACCCCUGUGAGGACAUCGCCUGUGACUCGCCGCGCUGCAGGAUCCUCCAGAGCUUUGACGAUUUCAUCUUUGCCUUCUUUGCUGUGGAAAUGAUCAUCAAGAUGAUUGCACUGGGGAUUUUUGGGAAGAAAUGCUAUCUGGGAGACACGUGGAACCGCCUGGACUUCUUCAUCGUCAUCGCAGGGAUGCUGGAGUAUUCCCUGGACCUGCAGAACGUCAGCUUCUCAGCGGUCCGCACUGUCCGUGUCCUGCGGCCACUCAGGGCCAUUAACAGGGUCCCCAGUAUGCGCAUCCUGGUGACACUGCUUUUGGACACGCUGCCCAUGCUGGGGAACGUCCUCCUUCUCUGCUUCUUCGUCUUCUUCAUCUUUGGCAUCGUGGGAGUCCAGCUGUGGGCAGGUUUGCUCAGGAACCGCUGCUUCCUCCCUGAGAACUUCAGCAUCCCCUACACGGUGGACUUGGAGCGAUACUACCAGACAGAGAACGAAGAUGAGAACCCUUUCAUUUGCUCCCAGCCCCGGGAGAACGGGAUGCGCUACUGCCGGAGUAUCCCAACACGGAGAGAAGAGGGUCUCGAGUGCACGCUGGAUUAUUAUUCCUACAAUGACACCACCAACACAUCCUGCGUCAAUUGGAACCAGUAUUACACCAACUGCUCUGCUGGGGAACACAACCCCUUCAAGGGAGCCAUCAACUUUGAUAACAUUGGCUACGCCUGGAUCGCAAUAUUUCAGGUCAUUACACUGGAAGGCUGGGUGGACAUCAUGUACUUUGUCAUGGAUGCACACUCCUUCUACAACUUCAUCUACUUCAUCCUCCUGAUCAUUGUGGGCUCCUUCUUCAUGAUCAACCUCUGCCUGGUGGUGAUAGCAACACAGUUCUCUGAGACAAAGCAGCGUGAGAGCCAGCUGAUGAAGGAGCAGCGGGUACGCUACCUGUCCAACGCCAGCACCCUCGCCAGCUUUUCGGAGCCGGGCAGCUGCUAUGAUGAACUCCUCAAGUACCUGGUUUAUAUUGCCCGUAAAGGCAGCAAGCAGCUUGUGGAGGUCUACCGGGUGGCGGGUGUGAGGAUGGGCUUCCUCACCAGCCCCACAAGCAAGGCAGGGACCGACCAGCAUGCCAGGAAGCGCCGGAGCAGGAAGAGGUCCUCCGUGCACCACCUCAUCCACCACCAUCACCACCAUCACCACCACUAUCACUUAGGCAAUGGGAACCUGCGGGCACCCCGCGCCAGCCCGGAGAUCAGCGAUGUGGAGACCAGCUCACUCCACAACGGGACCAACCGGCUGAUGCUCCCCCCCUCAGCACCAAACCCCCACGGGACCCCCAGCGCCGCUCCCAGCAACACCGAGUCCGUCCACAGCAUCUACCAUGCUGACUGCCACUUCGAGCCGGUGCGCUGCCGGUCAUCCUUCCCGCAGCCAGGCCUCGGCUUGCCGAGCCCAGAGGGGAUCCCCAAGAACAUCGUGGGCAGCAAGGUGUACCCCACAGUGCACCCCAGUACCUCCCACGAGAUGCCGAAAGAGAAGAACCUGGGGGAGGCGGCGGUCGGUGCUGGGAGCAGCACCUUGACAAGCCUCAACAUCCCGCCCGGGCCGUACAGCACCAUGCACAAGCUGCUGGAGACGCAGAGCACGGGAUUCUUUUCAGUCCACGUUACAGAGAAAGGCGAUGGUUUUCCAGGGCCCUGCCAAAGCUCCUGCACGAUCUCCAGCCCCUGCACCAAGCUGGACAGCGGCUCCUGCCACCCCGAGAGCUGCCCUUACUGCCUCAAGGCGCUGGCGAGCGAGGCUGAGCUGACGGACAAUGAGACGGCCGACUCGGACAGCGAGGGGGUCUACGAGUUCACGCAGGAUGCCCACUACAGCGACCAGCGGGACCCGCAGCGGGGCAGAGCCCGUGCUCGGAGAGCAAGCCGGGUGCUGGCCUUCUGGCAUGUGGUGUGCGAGACCUUCCGGAAGAUUGUGGACAGCAAAUAUUUUGGCCGCGGGAUCAUGGUGGCCAUUCUCAUCAACACGCUCAGCAUGGGGAUCGAGUACCACGAGCAGCCGGAGGAGCUUACCAACGCCCUGGAGAUCAGCAACAUAGUCUUCACAAGCCUCUUUGCCCUGGAGAUGCUGUUGAAAGUCCUCGUUUAUGGUCCUUUUGGCUACAUUAAGAAUCCAUACAACAUCUUUGAUGGGAUCAUCGUGGUGAUUAGCGUGUGGGAGAUAGUGGGCCAGCAAGGUGGGGGGCUCUCGGUCUUGCGAACCUUUCGGCUCAUGCGAGUUUUGAAGCUGGUCCGCUUCAUGCCAGCCCUCCAGCGCCAGCUCGUAGUCCUCAUGAAGACCAUGGACAACGUGGCCACCUUCUGCAUGUUGCUGAUGCUCUUCAUCUUCAUCUUUAGCAUCCUGGGGAUGCACCUCUUUGGCUGUAAGUUUGCUUCAGAGCGCGAUGGAGACACGCUGCCCGACAGGAAGAACUUCGACUCCUUGCUCUGGGCCAUCGUCACUGUUUUCCAGAUUUUAACCCAGGAAGACUGGAAUAAGGUCCUUUACAAUGGCAUGGCAUCAACCUCCUCCUGGGCUGCUCUGUACUUCAUCGCUCUCAUGACGUUUGGGAAUUACGUUCUCUUCAACCUGCUGGUGGCCAUCCUGGUGGAGGGUUUCCAGACAGAGGGUGAUGCUUCCAAGUCUGAUUCUGAGGGGGAUCUCUUCCCCCGCUGCCUGGAAGAGGAAGGAGGACUUAAGAAAACCUUGUCGAAUCCAGCCUUGAUGGCCCUGAGUGACCACCCGGAGCUGAAGAAGAGCCUGACUCCGCCGCUCAUCAUACACACCGCAGCCACGCCGAUGCCCAUGCCCAAGAGUGCCAUGUUUGGAGACGUGGCACAGGGCUAUGAGUCCCGCCGGGCCAGCGGCAUCUCCAUGGACCCCACCGCCUACGAGCUCAAGUCCCCGCCCAGCGCCCGCAGCUCCCCGCACAGCCCCUGGCGUGCCAGCAGCAGCUGGAACAGCCGCCGCUCCAGCUGGAACAGCAUUGGCCGGGCCCCCAGCCUCAAGCGGCGGGGGCAGAGCGGCGAGCGCAGGUCCCUUCUCUCCGGGGAGGGGAAGGAGAGCUCAGAGGAAGGGGAGAGCUCAGAUGAGGAGCGCUCCAGUCGGGCCGGCAGCUUCAAUGGCUCUUUGCCUCAUCGCAUGGAGUCGCUGGAAACAAAAGGUUCCUUUGACCUCCAGGAUACUCUGCAGGUGCCUUCCCUGUACCGGACCAGCAGCAUACACAGCAGCCGAACCUCCACCUCCGAGCACCAGGACUGCAACGGGAAGACCUCUCCGGGUCUGCUGCUGCACCAGCUCCACCUGGAUGAACCCCGACAGGACUGUGAUGACUGCGAUGAUGAAGGCAACAUGAGCAAAAGGGACCGCAUGAAGGCGUGGAUACGGGCACGUCUCCCCGCCUGCUGCAAAGAGAGGGACUCCUGGUCCAUCUACAUCUUCGCCCCUCACUCAAGAUUCCGUCUGAUGUGCAAUAAAAUCAUCACACACAAGAUGUUUGAUCAUAUCGUCUUGGUGAUCAUUUUCCUGAACUGCAUUACCAUUGCCAUGGAACGACCCAAAAUUGAGCCUCACAGCGCUGAACGGAUUUUCCUAACGCUCUCCAACUACAUCUUUACAGUUAUCUUCUUGACUGAGAUGACAGUUAAGGUGGUGGCACUAGGCUUGUGUUUUGGGGAGAAGGCCUACUUGAAAAGCAGCUGGAACGUGCUAGAUGGGGUGCUGGUUCUCAUCUCCGUCAUUGACAUCCUGGUCUCGAUGGUGUCAGACAGCGGCACGAAAAUCCUGGGGAUGCUGCGGGUUUUGAGACUGCUGAGGACGCUGCGGCCUUUAAGAGUCAUUAGUCGAGCCCAGGGGCUGAAGCUGGUGGUGGAGACUCUCAUGUCAUCCCUGAAGCCCAUUGGGAACAUCGUGGUCAUCUGCUGUGCCUUUUUCAUAAUCUUUGGGAUCCUGGGAGUUCAGCUUUUCAAAGGCAAGUUUUUUGUCUGCCAGGGAGAGGACACCAGAAACAUCACAAAUAAAUCGGAUUGUACCGAAGCAAGCUACAAAUGGGUCCGGCACAAGUAUAAUUUUGAUAAUCUCGGCCAGGCCCUGAUGUCUCUCUUUGUCCUGGCCUCCAAGGACGGGUGGGUGGAUAUCAUGUACGAUGGCUUAGAUGCUGUGGGAGUUGACCAGCAGCCAGUCAUGAAUUACAACCCAUGGAUGCUCCUCUACUUCAUCUCCUUCCUUCUGAUCGUGGCCUUCUUUGUCCUCAACAUGUUCGUGGGGGUGGUGGUGGAGAAUUUCCACAAAUGUCGACAGCACCAGGAGGAGGAAGAAGCCAAGAGGCGGGAGGAGAAGAGGCUUCGCCGGCUGGAGAAAAAGAGAAGGAAUCUAAUGCUGGAUGAUGUAUUAAUGGAGAGCUCAGCCAGUGCAGUGCAAGAAGCACAGUGUAAGCCCUACUAUUCGGAUUACUCCCGUUUCCGCCUCCUGAUCCACCAGAUGUGCACCAGCCACUACCUGGAUUUGUUCAUCACUGGAGUGAUUGGCCUCAACGUGAUCACCAUGGCCAUGGAGCACUACCAGCAGCCAAAGGUUCUUGAUGAAGCCCUGAAGAUCUGCAAUUACAUCUUCACCGUUAUCUUUGUCCUGGAGUCUGUUUUCAAGCUUAUCGCCUUUGGGUUUCGUCGCUUCUUCCAAGACAGAUGGAACCAAUUAGAUCUGGCAAUUGUGCUGCUGUCUAUCAUGGGCAUCACUUUGGAAGAGAUCGAGGUGAAUGCUUCGCUACCGAUUAACCCCACUAUUAUCCGAAUCAUGAGGGUUCUCAGGAUUGCUCGAGUGUUGAAGUUGCUGAAGAUGGCUGUAGGGAUGAGAGCCCUGUUGGACACUGUGAUGCAAGCGCUGCCACAGGUGGGGAAUCUGGGUCUUCUCUUCAUGUUGUUGUUUUUCAUAUUUGCAGCUCUUGGAGUGGAGCUGUUUGGAGACCUUGAGUGCGACGACACACACCCCUGCGAGGGGCUGGGACGGCACGCCACGUUCAGGAACUUUGGGAUGGCCUUUCUGACUCUUUUCCGGGUAUCCACUGGAGACAACUGGAAUGGGAUCAUGAAGGACACGCUGCGAGACUGUGACCAGGAGUCCACCUGUUAUAACACCGUCAUUUCACCCAUCUACUUUGUCUCCUUCGUGCUGACGGCCCAGUUUGUCCUGGUGAACGUGGUGAUUGCCGUGCUCAUGAAGCACUUGGAAGAGAGCAACAAGGAGGCUAAGGAGGAGGCAGAGCUUGAGGCAGAACUGGAGAUGGAAAUGAAGACAAUCACGCCCGGCCAACACAGCCCCUCGGACAUCUUUGCGUGGACAGGCAGCACCGGUGGAGAGAGACCUGAGAGCCCCCGAGGAUGUACCAAUCCCAUGCAAAUCAAGGUGGACUCUCAGCUCUCAUUAGUUUACCCUAUGGAAAGGCACUUGUUUGAUACCAUAUCACUGCUGAUCCAGGAAUCUCUGGAAGGAGAGCUGAAGCUGAUGGACAACCUUUCAGGCUCUGUGUGCCAUCAUUAUGCCCUCCCAGCUCCCGAAUAUUACAACUCUGAGAACCAGAUCCCUCUAGCUGAGAUGGAGGCUCUGUCUCUGACGUCAGAUAUUCUCUCUGAAAAGUCCUGGUCCUUAGCUCUGACGGAUGACUCUUUUCCUGAUGAUACUAACACACACUUACUUAAUGCUCUGGAAAGCAAUGCUGAUCUCCGCUCCAAAGACGACACACUGACCUUGUCUCCCAGCAAAGACUUGCUGAGCGUGAGGAAGCCUUCGGUGGGGCGCACACACUCGUUGCCGAAUGACAGCUACAUGUUCCAGCCGCCGUACUCCAGCCCCUGCCCUGCCUCCCUGGGUGAGAGGAAUCCGGCACAUCACAAGUCCCAGUCAGGUUCAAAGGCAUCAGUGCAGUCACAGCCAGCGGACACCAGUUCUCUCCUGCAAAUUCCAAAAGACCAUUUUCACCACGUAAGAGCUCACGACCAUUUGGUGAGGAGGAGCAAACCCCCGGUUCCCCAGCAAGUGCACUCUCCUUCUGCUGAAAGGCUGCUCCGCAGACAGAUAAAUCUUGUCCACCACAUACCUGGUCCAUGCACUCUCCUCCAUCAUUAAAACCUGUGUGUUUAACCUUCCUUUCCCUCCAGACUGCUGGAGAGCGAACACAGCCCCCACAGUAACGUGCCGUUUAGACUCGGGAAAGUUUGACAAUUAGCGAUGCACUCGCAGAUGAAGAUGAGUGGAUCGGAUGCUUUGGGAGAACGUUCCCUGCUGAGGAAUACGCUCCUUGGCAGCGCAUUGCACAAAAGCUUUUGUCCAGGGCAAUUGUACCUGAAAUUAAAACUCUAUUGAUUUUCUGGUUCCAGGACUGUGUAUCCAAGGUGUAGCCCACACCAAGCUGUGGCUACUACAGGUGUACACCCCAAUGGGAUGGCAGAGGGUCCUUUCAUUUUGAAACAAAGCAGUAAAACAUUGUACAAACAGUUACUACUAACAACUACCAAAGAUGCCUGUAUCAUAGGGAGAGAAAGAGCUGGUGGUGACUAAUACUGUCGUUGUAUGCAACACAGGUUGGUGUACAAGCAAAAGUAAUGACAAUAAUUACUUUUUGCUUCUGUAUUCUACUUUUUUGUAGUCUGUAUCUCUUCUCAGGAUAUGAACAUGAUUUCUUCUCCCACUCACUCACUAAAACUAUUGGCACUGAGGAGACCAGAAUUAGCUCCGCUCUUGGCUGUGGUUAGUUGCCAGUAUUAUGCUGUAAAAUUUUAAGUAGAAAGAAUUCACCAGCAUUGGAGAAGAUCAUUUUCUGUUCUGUAUUAAAUAUUCUCUCAACUCUCACAGAUGACAAAGGGAGCCCAGUGUGCAGAUGGAGCAAUAGACUCUUGUGUUUCUGUGCGUGCACAUGUGCGUACUGCAGCUGAUGAGAACUUUGCCUGAAUAGAGAUCAUUUGGCUCAAACGGUCCUUGUGGGACAAUUUUUAUAUAAAUUCUAAGAUCAUUUUGGGGCGAUUUGUCACAAAAGCAUUCCUUAGUAUGAGGAAUUUCAUCUCCUUGCACUUUUCUAAAGGACUGAGACAAGCUGUACACAUUUCCUCCAAAUUUCUCUGUGAAGUUUUUAAUCUUUCGGAUCAUUUAGGAGUCUUCUCAAACUGAGACUCUGCCUUUAAGGGCCAGUUAAUGUGGCUGAUUUAUAAACCCUUUUGACAAGGGAUGUGGUGCAGUGAAAAGACAAAGCCUUCAAAACACGCCAUAGGUUCUCUCUGCCAGCAGGCACUGAUGCUGCAUAUGGCUCAAGACAGCCAAGGCAAAAUGUGCCUUAGGAAGCCUGAAUUUAAGCAUCUGAGCAAGCUGAAAUAAUUACAGUUUAUUAUUAUUAGUCCGGCUUUGGACUCCAGCUUUUCCAGCUCCCUUGCCAUGAGGUGGUGCAGAGUCAUGGCUCCAGCAUGGGACCAAAGCCAGGGACAGGCUGUUGCCCUGAUGCUGGCACAGAGCGUGGCUGCUCCGGUGUCACUGGCUCUGGGGUUCCCACCCCAUGCUCUCAGCAUCACCUGAGCUGGAGGAGGGAAUACACUUGCACAUCCUCUCUCUCCCACUCGUGACAGGGCUGCUAAAAUUAUGAAGGGCUUUGCUGUAGAUCCUCAUCCUUUGCAUAACAAGAAUAUGUCUAAGUUUGGGCAAAGGCAUUCUGGUUUUGCAGCCCUCCAUCCUUAGAAGAGAAAGCUAAAGGUCAACCAUUUAUAAAAAAUGAAGGGCCCGAUUCUGGUGUCACUUACACAGGGACAAACCCAUAGAUCUCUGAAGUGUGGGAACUGCUAGAACCCGCAGGAGGAGUCUGUGGGUCUGUGCUGAGGUACCUCAGCAGAGCUGAGCCCCCUGUAAACGCGGUGCCUUUCUCAUACUAACCUGUGUUUGGUCUGUCUCUCUCAUCUGGCAACUCCCCUCCUCCCCGAUCCCUUUGCGCUCCGAUACAGAUGGCCAUAAGGAACGACUCUUCGGAUAGCAAGGAGAAUCUCCACACCGAGCAGGCACCAGCAUCGUGUGCUUGUGCAGACUCGUAUCAGGAGACACCUGGAGAUUCAAUGGACCGAGAAGUAUCUGAAAUAAACAGCUCC